rnacentral:rRNA from 1 species
AUUGAACGCUGGCGGCAGGCCUAACACAUGCAAGUCGAACGGUAACAGGAAGCAGCUUGCUGCUUCGCUGACGAGUGGCGGACGGGUGAGUAAUGUCUGGGAAGCUGCCUGAUGGAGGGGGAUAACUACUGGAAACGGUAGCUAAUACCGCAUAAUGUCGCAAGACCAAAGAGGGGGACCUUCGGGCCUCUUGCCAUCGGAUGUGCCCAGAUGGGAUUAGCUUGUUGGUGGGGUAACGGCUCACCAAGGCGACGAUCCCUAGCUGGUCUGAGAGGAUGACCAGCCACACUGGAACUGAGACACGGUCCAGACUCCUACGGGAGGCAGCAGUGGGGAAUAUUGCACAAUGGGCGCAAGCCUGAUGCAGCCAUGCCGCGUGUAUGAAGAAGGCCUUCGGGUUGUAAAGUACUUUCGGCGGGGAGGAAGGGAGUAAAGUUAAUACCUUGGCUCAUUGACGUUACCCGCAGAAGAAGCACCGGCUAACUCCGUG